rnacentral:rRNA from 1 species
AUGCGGGUGGCGGUGGUGGGCGCCGGCGUGAGCGGCCUGGCGGCGGCGCACGAGCUGGCCAGGGCCGGCGGGGCGGCGCGCGUGACGGUGUACGAGGCGGAGGAGAGCCUCGGCGGCCACGCCAGGACCGCCGACGUCGACGGCGUCCAGCUCGACCUCGGCUUCAUGGUCUUCAACCGGGUACGUACGCAUAUGUACCUACCUACGGGGCCAAUACGUACACACGGCCGUGAUGCGCGUACGGAUACGAAUUUUCCAGGACAUGAUUCCCAUUUAGGAUGA